rnacentral:rRNA from 1 species
ACGAACGCUGGCGGCGUGCUUAACACAUGCAAGUCGAACGGAAAGGCCCUGCUUUUGUGGGGUGCUCGAGUGGCGAACGGGUGAGUAACACGUGAGUAACCUGCCCUUGACUUUGGGAUAACUUCAGGAAACUGGGGCUAAUACCGGAUAGGAGCUCCUGCUGCAUGGUGGGGGUUGGAAAGUUUCGGCGGUUGGGGAUGGACUCUCGGCUUAUCAGCUUGUUGGUGGGGUAGUGGCUUACCAAGGCUUUGACGGGUAGCCGGCCUGAGAGGGUGACCGGCCACAUUGGGACUGAGAUACGGCCCAGACUCCUACGGGAGGCAGCAGUGGGGAAUAUUGCACAAUGGGCGGAAGCCUGAUGCAGCAACGCCGCGUGCGGGAUGACGGCCUUCGGGUUGUAAACCGCUUUCGCCUGUGACGAAGCGUGAGUGACGGUAAUGGGUAAAGAAGCACCGGCUAACUACGUG